UUGAAGAAAACAAAAACUGCUCAAUGAAACGGACAAAGAAUAGACACAAAUAUCGUGAUUAUUCGCAUCACGGGGAGAGUUCGUUUCAACGUGAAUACGAUAGAAGAUUUCGACAGGAAAACCGACAUUCCACGUCUUCAAGUGGUUGGCACAAGCGUAGCUAUGAUCGUCACUCGCGGCGUGAUAGGCGAUGAUGUCAUUUCAUUUCUGGAAUUGGCUGGAAAAGACUGAAGAAGCUGCCUCAUGUUGGUACAGUCCAGAUUCAAAAUGGGUUUUUAUAUUUAACUGUGCAAUUUCAAAUGUAUGGGAGUCAAAAUAGGUGGGUGAGAAUUGAGGGGGUGGGUGAGGCAUUGUGUGUGAGGAGACCACUGGAGGUAUUUUACAAUUAAAUAACAGAAACAUUGUCAAUGGUAUUGUAUUUUUAUUGAAACAAUGGCUAUAGUCUAUUUUA
rnacentral:lncRNA from 1 species